rnacentral:pre_miRNA from 2 species
CAGUUAUCACAGUGCUGAUGCUGUCCGUUCUCAAGGUACAGUACUGUGAUAACUGAA